CAAAAGGCCCUUUUCAGGGCCAACCAUGACGAUGAUAUCCAUAAAU
rfam:Acyrthosiphon pisum strain LSR1 Contig6492, whole genome shotgun sequence.